rnacentral:rRNA from 1 species
GACGAACGCUGGCGGCGUGCUUAACACAUGCAAGUCGAACGUGAUUUUUGUGGAAAUUCUUUCGGGAAUGGACAUGAAAUGAAAGUGGCGAACGGGUGAGUAACACGUGAGCAACCUACCUUACACAGGGGGAUAGCCGUUGGAAACGACGAUUAAUACCGCAUGAGACCACAGAAUCGCAUGAUAUAGGGGUCAAAGAUUUAUCGGUGUAAGAAGGGCUCGCGUCUGAUUAGCUAGUUGGAAGGGUAAAGGCCUACCACGGCGACGAUCAGUAGCCGGUCUGAGAGGAUGAACGGCCACAUUGGAACUGAGACACGGUCCAAACUCCUACGGGAGGCAGCAGUGGGGAAUAUUGCACAAUGGGGGGAACCCUGAUGCAGCGACGCCGCGUGAGCGAAGAAGGUUUUCGAAUCGUAAAGCUCUGUCCUAUGAGAAGAUAAUGACGGUAUCAUAGGAGGAAGCCCCGGCUAAAUACGUG